GGCCUAACACAUGCAAGUCGAGGGGUAUAGUUCUUCGGAAUUAGAGACCGGCGCACGGGUGCGUAACGCGUAUGCAAUCUACCUUUUACAGAGGGAUAGCCCAGAGAAAUUUGGAUUAAUACCUCAUAGUAUAAUGACCUGGCAUCAGGAUGUUAUUAAAGUCACAACGGUAAAAGAUGAGCAUGCGUCCCAUUAGCUAGUUGGUAAGGUAACGGCUUACCAAGGCUACGAUGGGUAGGGGUCCUGAGAGGGAGAUCCCCCACACUGGUACUGAGACACGGACCAGACUCCUACGGGAGGCAGCAGUGAGGAAUAUUGGACAAUGGGCGCAAGCCUGAUCCAGCCAUGCCGCGUGCAGGAUGACGGUCCUAUGGAUUGUAAACUGCUUUUAUACGAGAAGAAACACUACUUCGUGAAGUAGCUUGACGGUAUCGUAAGAAUAAGGAUCGG
rnacentral:rRNA from 1 species